rnacentral:rRNA from 1 species
UACAGAGGUCUCAACCGUUGUUCGGAUUCAUUGGGCGUAAAGGGUGCGUAGGCGGUCGCGUAAGUCAGGUGUGAAAUCCCGGGGCUCAACCCCGGAACUGCACUUGAUACUGCGUGGCUAGGGUACUGGAGAGGAGACUGGAAUUUACGGUGUAGCAGUGAAAUGCGUAGAUAUCGUAAGGAAGACCAGUGGCGAAGGCGAGUCUCUGGACAGUUCCUGACGCUGAGGCACGAAGGCCAGGGGAGCAAACGGG